rnacentral:lncRNA from 1 species
AAUUUUAUAAAACACGUUCUCAUAUUCUUCUAUGGGAAUUAGGGCAACAACAAGAUCGACCCACUCGAUCGAUAGGAUUCACUUCACCGGCGACAGGUCUACCGUAAUUUCUACUCGGUAACGUAUUCCGAUCAUCUAUUUUGGUCUCAGCAAUGUAUAACGUCUCUUGAUGUACAAAAUUCUUUCAUGUUUUGUCAAAUUUUACCUUUAAAUCGAGCAGUACGGACGGUCCUGUAUUUGCAUGCUGAUAUUUGUCUCAGGCUUUUGUUCAGGGACGGAUUAAUUUAUCAGCGCCGCUUAAUUUUAGAGUAAUUUGUGUAAUUCUCCUAGGUGAUGCGAUAAAUUAUGGUUUGCUGUAGAGGAGAUCAGUUAAGUAGGUUAUAGAAACGCGGAGUAGUAUAAUGUAAAUUGAUAGGAAGUUUACAGGAAAAAUAAAUGGAAUGAGUUAGUUCUGAACUUCUGAUUCUUAAGGUCCUGUCCUGUUUUAUAUAAGUACAGGUACGUAUAUACUUGAUAAUGAUCUGAAGCAUGAAUACACGUUCCUUCGAAUAAUUUUUAUGUUUAUAAUGAGUGAUCUAUAUCAUUGUGUAAAUUGUGUGUCUAGCUACACACUGGUUUUUAUAUACACAUACUAGAAUAUGUAUUCAUGUACUAAUUAUUGAUAACUGAUGUACGAUGAACGAACAGAGUUGUACUUAUUUUAUUACGCCUGCUCUAGUGAAUGACAAGUCUUUAAAUUUAAUCUAGGCGUUUUCUUAUCUUCAUGGGAUAUGGCGAUCUCUCUUUUUUUGAGAUAGGGCUGGAGGAAGGAUUUUUGUUUAGUGGCUUUAAUAUGAUGCCCUUAGCUUGCAAUCUACCUUUUUACCUUUUAGGUGCUUCUCUCUUGGAAGUGUUUGAUGCCAAAACAGAUAUGUAAACUUGGUUUAGAAUGGCUGUUUAAUUUUUCAGUUGCUACAUAGAUAUUGACGGGAGAUUUGUACGAGUAACUUUUAGGAUGCUUUAACUUCAAAUCAAUCUGUAUCUUCAUGGGAAGCCUUUUGUUGAAUGCCCUUGACUUUCAGGCUUCAUAAGAAAUUCUGUAAUGCUCUAAGGUAGGUAAUGUACUAAUGUUCCAUAUAGCCAAUAUCGGAAUGUAUUAACAUGUAUCUGCAGCUUCUAUGAUACCUGUAACUGGAAUGCAAUUCACUUCCUACUUCUAAAAAGUAAUAGUGCAGUGUCAGGUCAUAUUUCCUUCAUGGAGGAUCUCAAUUAUCAAGUAUCUCUUGCUUGUAGGAGAGCAACUCCAGAAAGUGCUUCUCAGAUUCUGCUAGCCUUAACUUGCUAAGACGAAAAUCCUAAUGCAGAAAAGAGAGCACUAGUUUGAUUUCUUGAAAGUUAUGCUAAGUUGAUAUAUAUGCCUUCACCCUAGCAUUGAAAAACAGAGAGAUCAAAAUAAAUCCAACGUCAUGGUUGCAGUUACGCGUGCACAAUCUUGAUCAGCUUUCUGAGUUACAUUCCUGCUGCAAAAAAAAAAAAAUCGUAGUCCAUAUAUUGCUUGAGGUUACAUUGACAAGAUUUUUUCCUGCCCUUAGUGUAUUGAGGUGAUUAAUCGAGCCUGAAGUUCUAUCUUUGAAAUUCACUCUUCCCAAGCUGAAACUUAAUCAUAUGUGAAGAACUUCACUUACUUCAGAUAUGCAAUUUGUUAUUCAUUGGUUCAUACAAAAUACGCUGAAAUUAGAGUCAUGCCCUGAAAACUCUGAGGUUAAAAGAAAACCCUUAACACUCAAAAUUCUUGGCAAUUUUCAUGUUGUUUUCACAUGCUGUGAUGUAUUCCAUAUUCUAUUCAUGUAAUGCUUAUGAUGCCUCUGCAUUCUAUUUCUUUUAGGGAUAAUACACAAGUACCCCUCAACCUAUGUUCGAAAUUUCAGAGACACAUUAUACUAUACUUAAGUCCUAUUACCUCUGAACUUAUUUUAUUAAUAAUUUUCUACCCCUUUUCGGCCUACGUGGCAUUAUCUUGUGGGCCCAACGCUGGUUAACUUUUUUUUUUUUAAGUUAGUGCCACGUAAGCCGAAAAGGGGUAGAAAAUUACUUAUAUGAUAAGUUCGGGGUUAAUAGGAUCUUAGUAUAGUAUAAGUGUGUCUUUGGAUUUCAGGCAUAGGUUGAGGGGGUACUUGUGCAUUUUCCCUUUCUUUUAAUUUAUUUUUGGCUAUUAUGGUUCUAUUGAUUUGUGUGACCUUGUGUUUUUAUUAGGUAAUUUUGGAUGUAUAUACAGAUCACAACCAUCCAGAUCUAUCAUUGAGGUUCAUUCCUGUUGGAACAUUCCAGACUAAGAGUGCGUGGGCUAGAAAACAAGGUAGUUCUUUGCCCUAAUGUCUAUUUGACCUCCAUUUUGCUACUUCCCCAUAGCACUUGUUUCCAUCAAGUCCAGAAAAAUCUCAUGAGUGUUGCCUACAGACCAUUAUAGCUUCAGGAUCACUAGACACAUGAUGGCUAUUUUUGUAGUGACAUGUCUAAUGGGACCCUUCAUCCUAUUCCAUAAGUGCUAGUUUCCACUAUGGAAUUUUCCCAUUAGAUUAAGCCAUUUCCUUUUUGCAGCCACUCAAGCAUCUGGAAUACUUGGAUCUUCUUAGGCCCACUGAUGCUGACUCCCACGUGAAGUAAUAUAUGUUCUUCAAAUGCCAUGCACACAAAUGUUCCAUUGAGCUUCAUUUCUUUUGACCGGGGUCUCUUUGGCUUCUUGUUUCCUUCCAGAACCUAGAAGGGAGUCCAUGCUGAGGUAUUGGGAAUGGGCUAUAUUGUACUCCUUUGGAAACUUCGAUUUCCCACCUGCAAUAAUUAAUGUGUGAGUAUGAAUUUCUAAUAAAGUUAGAGCACUGAUAUAUUUAGCACUCUUCUAGUAGGUACAAUUGAAAUUUCAAAAAAUCUCCUGGCGUGACAUAAACACAAGUGAAGCUGGAACUGAGAAGAAAUUUCUUUAAAACACAUCCUUUUCCUUUGACUAGAUUUUUGUGAGCAUUAUGUGGUUGGGAGUUUAGUGGAUGUAUUUCUUCAACACAUGAACACGAGCACAUGACAUCUGCUUGUAUACAUAUUUUAAAAAAGAAUAUAUAAGAGAAGUCUGUACCCAUUAUUAUAGACAAGUCCUGAUGCUUUGGUAUUCCCCACCUGUUGGCUUAAACUUUUGGAUCUGCUGUUGUUGCAGUUCUUCUAUGUUAUUAUUGUUGUUAAAUAUUAGUAUAUACAAUGGAUUUAGUUAAGUAGUUAAAAAUCGUGGACUCAAAAUAAUAUAAGUUAUGAAUUUAGAAG